GAAGAUUCCACCAAAGGAUCAAGAAACUAGUGGAAUAGUUCUCCCAGCUUUAGUGAACCUUCCGCUGCUUCACUGCAAGCCAUGCUCUCUGCUUCCUGCUCAGGACUUGUGAUCUUGUUGAUACUGAGAGGGACCAGUGGAGACACGGUGACCCAGACAGAAGACCCUGUUAUCCUCCCCGAGGGAGCAUUUCUGACUCUGAAUUGCACUUACGAGACUAGCUAUUCAGACUUCCUUUUCUGGUAUGUCCAGUAUCUAAACAAAGGGCCUGAGCUCCUCCUGAAAAGCUCAUCAGAAAAUCAGAAGGUGGUCCGUGGAGGUUUUCAGGCCACUCUUGUCAAGAGUGACAGGACCUUCCACCUGCAGAAACCGUCCGUGCAGAUGUCAGACUCGGCCGUGUACUACUGUGCUCUGAACGACACAGUGAGAGGGGCUGCAGGGGGAGCUGAGCACAAACCCGGAGGCGCAGAUCAGCACUCAGCCAGUGAUUCAGAAUGA